ACAAACGCUUUGAACGGGAGGAGUACGCUGUGCGCGCCCAAAGAGAGCAGACGGAAGGUGCAAGUCUGCGGCACACGGCAGCGGAAGUCGCCCGCGAGCGCGGAUGGUGACAGCGCCCCGGGCGCCGUAAUCAUCUGCGGUGUCCGCCGUUACCGGAUAAGAGAGUGCGCCGCAAAAGCAAACCGGAAAUACCGGAAUAUCUGCGGCACAAAAUCGGGUGGUACCGCGCGUCCUGCGUCCUGAUA
rnacentral:ncRNA from 1 species